rnacentral:rRNA from 1 species
UGAGCUUGCUUCAAUUGCCGGCGACCGGCGCACGGGUGAGUAACGCGUAUCCCACUUUCCGCUUACUCGGGGAUAGCCUUUCGAAAGAAAGAUUCCUACCCGAUGGUAUCUUAAGCACGCAUGAGAUUAAGAUUAAAGAUUUAUCGGUAAGCGAUGGGGAUGCGUUCCAUUAGGCAGUUGGCGGGGUAACGGCCCACCAAACCUACGAUGGAUAGGGGUUCUGAGAGGAAGGUCCCCCACAUUGGAACUGAGACACGGUCCAAACUCCUACGGGAGGCAGCAGUGAGGAAUAUUGGUCAAUGGGCGAGAGCCUGAACCAGCCAAGUAGCGUGAAGGAUGACGGCCCUACGGGUUGUAAACUUCUUUUGUGCGGGAAUAAAGGAACCUACGUGUAGGUUUUUGCAUGUACCGUAACGAAUAAGCAUCGGCUAACUCCGUGCCAGCAGCCGCGGUAAUACGGAGGAUGCGAGCGUUAUCCGGAUUUAUUGGGUUUAAAGGGAGCGUAGACGGGUUUUUAAGUCAGCUGUGAAAGUUUGGGGCUCAACCUUAAAAUUGCAGUUGAAACUGGAGACCUUGAGUACGGUUGAGGCAGGCGGAAUUCGUGGUGUAGCGGUGAAAUGCUUAGAUAUCACGAAGAACUCCGAUUG